CACGUAGGGGGCAAGCGUUGUCCGGAUUUAUUGGGCGUAAAGAGCUCGUAGGCGGCUCAGUAAGUCAGGUGUGAAACCUCCAGGCUCAACCUGGAGACGCCACCUGAUACUGCUGUGGCUAGAGUCCGGUAGGGGAGCGUGGAAUUCCUGGUGUAGCGGUGAAAUGCGCAGAUAUCAGGAGGGACACCGGUGGCGAAGGCGGAUCUCUGGGCCUUACCUGGACGC
rnacentral:rRNA from 1 species